rnacentral:tRNA from 1 species
GUGGGUGUAGCUCAGCUGGUUAGAGCACCGGAUUGUGAUUCCGGGGGUCGUGGGUUCAAAUCCCAUCAUCCACCCCA